UACGUAGGGGGCUAGCGUUGUCCGGAAUCAUUGGGCGUAAAGAGCGUGUAGGCGGCCCGGUAAGUCCGCUGUGAAAGUCGGGGGCUCAACCCUCGAAUGCCGGUGGAUACUGUCGGGCUAGAGUGCGGAAGAGGAGAGUGGAAUUCCUGGUGUAGCGGUGAAAUGCGCAGAUAUCAGGAGGAACACCGGUGGCGAAGGCGGGUCUCUGGGCCGAUACUGACGCUGAGGAGCGAAAGCGUGGGGAGCGAACAGG
rnacentral:rRNA from 1 species